AUUGAACGCUGGCGGCAUGCUUUACACAUGCAAGUCGAACGGUAACAGGCCUUCGGGCGCCGACGAGUGGCGAACGGGUGAGUAAUGCAUCGGAACGUGCCCAGUCGUGGGGGAUAACGCAGCGAAAGCUGUGCUAAUACCGCAUACGAUCUGCGGAUGAAAGCGGGGGACCUUCGGGCCUCGCGCGAUUGGAGCGGCCGAUGUCAGAUUAGGUAGUUGGUGGGGUAAAGGCCCACCAAGCCGACGAUCUGUAGCUGGUCUGAGAGGACGACCAGCCACACUGGGACUGAGACACGGCCCAGACUCCUACGGGAGGCAGCAGUGGGGAAUUUUGGACAAUGGGCGCAAGCCUGAUCCAGCAAUGCCGCGUGCAGGAAGAAGGCCUCCGGGUUGUAAAGCACUUUUGUUCGGGAAGAAAUCAUGUCGGUUAAUACCCGAUGUGGAUGACGGUACCGAAAGAAUAAGCACCGGCUAACUUCGUGCCAGCA
rnacentral:rRNA from 1 species